rnacentral:rRNA from 1 species
AUUGAACGCUGGCGGCAGGCUUAACACAUGCAAGUCGAGCGGGUGAGGUUGCUUCGGUAACUGAGCUAGCGGCGGACGGGAGAGUAAUGCUUAGGAAUCUGCCUAUUAGUGGGGGACAACAUUCCGAAAGGAAUGCUAAUACCGCAUACGCCCUACGGGGGAAAGCAGGGGAUCUUCGGACCUUGCGCUAAUAGAUGAGCCUAAGUCAGAUUAGCUAGUUGGUGGGGUAAAGGCCUACCAAGGCGACGAUCUGUAGCGGGUCUGAGAGGAUGAUCCGCCACACUGAGACUGAGACACGGCCCAGACUCCUACGGGAGGCAGCAGUGGGGAAUAUUGGACAAUGGGCGCAAGCCUGAUCCAGCCAUGCCGCGUGUGUGAAGAAGGCCUUUUGGUUGUAAAGCACUUUAAGCGAGGAGGAGGCUACCGAGAUUAAUACUCUGGGAUAGUGGACGUUACUCGCAGAAUAAGCACCGGCUAACUCUGUGCCAGCCGCCGCCGUAAGAC